AUUGAACGCUGGCGGCAGGCUUAACACAUGCAAGUCGAGCGGAGACUUCGGUCUUAGCGGCGAACGGGUGAGUAAUACCUAGGAAUCUGCCUAUUAGUGGGGGAUAACGAAUCGAAAGGUUCGCUAAUACCGCAUACGUCCUACGGGAGAAAGGGGGGAGUCUUCGGACCUCUCGCUAAUAGAUGAGCCUAGGCCGGAUUAGCUAGUUGGUAGGGUAAAGGCCUACCAAGGCGACGAUCUGUAGCUGGUCUGAGAGGAUGGCCAGCCACACUGGAACUGAGACACGGUCCAGACUCCUACGGGAGGCAGCAGUGGGGAAUAUUGGACAAUGGGGGCGAACCCUGAUCCAGCCAUGCCGCGUGUGUGAAGAAGGCCUUCGGUUGUAA
rnacentral:rRNA from 1 species